ensembl:lncRNA
CAAAACUCAAAAGCGAGUGGGAGCUGAGCAUGUGGCACACGAUUGUAAUUCCCAGGACUUGGGAAACUGAGGCAGAAAGAUCCUGAGUUCAAGCCCAGUCUGGGCUACAUAGAGAAUUCAAGUUCAGCCUGGACUACAUAGCAUGACCCUGUCUCAAAAGUCGGGCAUGAUGGCACACACUUAUAAUCCCAGCACUUGAGAGGCUGAGGCAGGAGGAUCUCACUGAGAGUUUGAGGCCAACCUGGGCUAUAUAGUGAGUUCGAGGCCAGCCUGGACUACAUGUGUGACUAUGUUGAGGUGGCCGUGCUUUGAGGAAACCCAACUGAUGGACAGAGGUUGUGUAGGCAUUACAGUUGACAAUCCCUGCGGAGCUCAUCCUUUGAGUUUUCUCAGCCCUGAUGCCAGAUUGUAAGUGAAGAAGUUCUAAAGGAUUCUAUCUCACAACUUUCAAGUCAAGUCACCUUUUUAGGCUUUCCAAAUCCUAUAGAGAAGAGACCAACUCUCCCCAGCUGUGUCCUGUCCAAAUUUCUGACUCAAGAUCC